AGAAAAAAAAAAGGGAUAACCAUAAUGACCAAGAUACAUUAAUGAAAGAUCACAAUCUAAUUUAUAACUCUUGUGUGCUAAAAGAAAUCACAGCUGUCUGGCUGAGACAAUCAACUACUCCUGUGUAACCUUGUCUUUUGCAUUAUCAUGACUAAAAGGUCGUCGCCAGAAAAGCCUCACCAAUUUCCUCUAUAUUCCCAUCGAGACAAUAGUCAAAAAUGAAAAAAUGUACAUAUUCCCAGGCUGCCCACUACGUAAUCAGAAUAGCCAAAUAGUUUCAACAUGUUGGUAAAGGCAUUGGCCAUCAAUUAUUUAUUUGUUGUUCCACUAUUUUAAUCUCAACCAUCACCCCCAAAAAAAAAACCCAAGGUGCACAUGAGUAUCAAUCCAUAUUCUAGAACAAAGAACUUACAAAAGAAAAUUUUGUAUUUCACUACAUAAUCAAUCUUCACGUUUUAGCAAGCUGCAAUUUCUUCAAAAUCGCAUCAUCACUAUCCCACCUCCAUAUUUUAUUAUAAAACCCUAAUGGCCCUAAUGGAUACAAAUCCUACCUCCAAAAGCUACGCAGAACAAAUGAUUUGAUAGGUAAUACUAAAGGACAAUAAAUUUUACGAACUUCUUAAACCGAUACCAAAUGAAAAUGCAGGAAAUUAAAACACAAUGGAAUUUAGAAUCUCGACUUUUUCAAUAGUAUAAAUCCCAAUAUCAAACCCCAUGCCAAUUGCACCAAAUCCAAAAAAUAUGAUAGUUAAAUCAUUCAAUUACUAAACAAAGACACAACAGAGCUCAUAAAAAUGGAGAAAUUUUCCUUCCUUCAGUUUUCCCCUAAAUUUCAAGCAGCCAGAUAAUAACUAGGGUUUUGGACUAGAAUUGAUCAAUUUUGACUUUAAAAAUCACGAUCAAGGAAAUGAAGCAGAGAAAUUAAAGUGAAUUUGAUAUACCUGAGAAAGCGAGAAAAGAGAA
rnacentral:misc_RNA from 1 species